rnacentral:tRNA from 1 species
AUUUAAAUAGUUUAAUUAAAAUAUUGAUUUGUGGGAUCAAAGUUAUAUUUAUUAUUUUAAAUU